rnacentral:rRNA from 1 species
CAGCAGCCACGGGAAUACGUAGGUGGCAAGCGUUGUCCGGAAUUAUUGGGCGUAAAGGGCUCGCAGGCGGUUUCUUAAGUCUGAUGUGAAAGCCCCCGGCUCAACCGGGGAGGGCCAUUGGAAACUGGGAAACUUGAGUGCAGAAGAGGAGAGUGGAAUUCCACGUGUAGCGGUGAAAUGCGUAGAGAUGUGGAGGAACACCAGUGGCGAAGGCGACUCUCUGGUCUGUAACUGACGCUGAGGAGCGAAAGCGUGGGGAGCGAACAGGAUUAGAUACCCCGCGUAGUCCCUGUCUCUUAUA